rnacentral:rRNA from 1 species
GACGAACGCUGGCGGCGUGCUUAACACAUGCAAGUCGAACGGUGAUGGGAGCUUGCUCCCUGAUCAGUGGCGAACGGGUGAGUAACACGUGAGCAACCUACCCUUGACUCUGGGAUAACAGUUGGAAACAGCUGCUAAUACCGGAUACGACCCCUGCAGGCAUCUGCGGGGGUGGAAAGCUCCGAAGGUCAAGGAUGGGCUCGCGGCCUAUCAGCUUGUUGGUGAGGUAACGGCUCACCAAGGCGACGACGGGUAGCCGGCCUGAGAGGGCGACCGGCCACACUGGGACUGAGAUACGGCCCAGACUCCUACGGGAGGCAGCAGUGGGGAAUAUUGCGCAAUGGGCGAAAGCCUGACGCAGCAACGCCGCGUGCGGGAUGACGGCCUUCGGGUUGUAAACCGCUUUCAGCAGGGACGAAGUGAAAAUGACGGUACCUGCAGAAGAAGCACCGGCUAACUACGUGCCAGCCGCCGCAGUAACAC